rnacentral:lncRNA from 1 species
GGGAAGGCAGGGGGAGGACAGGAGGGAAGUGAUGGAGGAGGCAGGGAAGCCGAGGGGAGAGGAGACGAGAGGUGCGGAGGCGCUGGCCUUUUUCUUGGUGCCCAACGCCCCUGCAGUGUAGCUCGGCCGUCUGGGAAGCCGCCAAGUUCGCGCCAGCCAGGCUCGCUCUGGGCGCGCCCAGCACUUGCCUGCGACGUGGAAAACCUAGAGAGCCCUAAAUCUCAGGGCUAAUCUCUGGGUACUUUGAGGAAAGCGUCAGGGGGCCUCGAGUCCCGCGGAGUUUUUGCGGAUGCGCCAGGCCGCGUGGGGAUGUGCCGCAGGGAAGAAGCAGUCUUGGAAACUCUCCCGCCCUGUUGGCAGCUGUCGGUGCCUGUGUUCUUUCUAGUAAGUGUGGCGGUUUCCUUUCCCUCAAGUCAUUCUAUCAAAGUCUUGGAAGCAAACUAAAAAAAAAAACUAGUCUGAAUUAGAAAGUUAAGUGAAGACGGCCUUAUGGGUUUGCGCUGCUCAGGUUUAUUCGUAGCUUCUUUUGGGUCCUUCUUCUCUCUCGCUCCCACCUUGAGGCAGAAACAUAGAUGAGGGACUUGCCGGAUGUCUCUUAUUUUCUACACUAGUUUGAACCUUUCCGCCGGAACUAUGUAUAUUACUUUCUCAUAGGUUUGUGAAUUAACAAACAGGAUUAUUGCAGUUAAUAAGAAGAGCUAAUAUGUAGUACUCGGGGCAGGCACUAUUUUGUUUACAAACCUGUGAUUAUUUAAUUCAUCAACUGUGUGAAGUCGGGGCUAUUGUCCCAUUAUCCAACUUACUUCAUUCCUUAGAGAUGAGGAAAUUGAGGCAUGGUCAAGUUAGAUAACAAGGCCUCUUCUAGCCUGUAAGUGGAAGAGAUGGAAUUUGAACGCAAACUGUCGGAGGUAAAUGCCAUGCUGUGGUCACAAUGUUAUAGAAAUUACCCACUAGCGAGCAUAGUUGUAUUGAAAUAUUAAACUUAUAAUUAGGUGGGAUUUUUUUUUUUCCUUUUACUUAUUUAGGCUUCCUGAAGUUUAUUUUGGCGAAAUGUCCAAAUUUAGUGUGGACAGAGCAGGACUCACAAUUUAAAAAGGAAACUCUCAAUAAGAAACCAUGCAUUCCAAGGCAGUGUUACAUUUUUCUUACAUGCAAGGUUAUUGAAAUGUUUGACCUGGGAAGUUAUUUUCCUUAGGAGAAACGUUUGUCUUGGUAUACCGUGAUCCCCGAGAACAUGGCGAGCCCUCCAGGAGAAACUCUUCAGUCAUCAGUGUUUGAAAACUAAAUAUUGAUUCAAAUGUACUCAAGAAGUGAGCAUCCUUGACAUGGUCGAUGACAUGAUGUCAAAUGAAAAGGAAAUUUCCCCAAAGAAACAUAAGUAUUGGGUGGAGUCAGGGAAGAUACUCAGGGAGUUCCCUUCGUGGCUCAGUGGUUAAGGAACCCCACUAGGAUCCAUGAGGAUUCCAGUUUGAUCCCUUGCCUUGCUCAGUGGGCUAAGGAUCUUGCGUUGCUUUGAGCUGUGGUGUAGGUGGAAGACGCUGCUUGGAUCCCGUGCUGCUCUGGCUGUGGUUGUAGGCCGGCAGGUGUAGCUCCACUUCAGCCACUAGCCUGGGAAUUUCCAUAUGCCUCGGGUGCCUGGGAACUUCCAUGUGCUGUGCUUGUGGCCCUAGAAAGCAAAAAUAAGAAAAGGGACGAUAUUCGUUUUUUUUUUUUUUUUUUCCCUCCAUUUUCUUUCUGGAGUCUUCUUCCCUGUCCUUGAACACUUCUGUGACCUCCAAGACUGGGUUAGAAGCCUCUUCUGUGUGCUCCUGUGCACCCAGAAUCUGUGCCUGCAGUGGUACACUGUUUUCUCAUUGCUUGUUCACCUAACUACCUCCUGGGAGAUUCUUAAGUUUCACGAAGGGCAGACAUUCUGUCCUUCUCAAUAGUAUGUCUCCAGAACUCAGCACAGUUGUCCUAAAAUUGGAGCAAUACUGACUGGUUAAAAUGAUGGUUUUUACUGGUCAGCCUUGUCUUGUUAGGAUGUACUGAGUUGGGAUUUAACAGAAACUGUGAGACCAAUGUAUCCAUCAGAAGCAUAGUCUCUAAACAGACCUCCCAGUUUCCUCCUUUCUUACAUUUCCUUGAAUUCCACCUACAUACUUUAUCUUAUCUAUCUCUCUGUCUCUCUCUAUGUUAUCUGUGUGUAUACCAUCUAUCUCCCUCUAUCUCUCUAUCUCUCUAUCCAACUGUCUGUCUGUCUAUCUGUCUUUACCACUGGAUAUAAACCACACAGUCAGGGAUGUAUAUUUUGUUUCAGUUUGGGUAUAUAUCCCAUUGUCCCACUUUUUGCACCCAUUUGGCACAUAAUAGUUUUUUUGAUAUUAAAUAAGAACAAAAACAACCUCUGAAAAUUUUAACUUUAUUUUGGCACCCAAUUAAUAAAUAACUGCAGCCUUAAUCCUAACCUCACUGUUUGGGGUCUGUAAGAUGAUAGAAUCAUACGAUUUUUUUUUUUUUUCCCUGAAGGGGACCUGAUAAUUAUGUAAGCCAGCUGGUAGACACAGGCUAUUUCAAUUUAAACUGACUAAAAUAAAAUUAAAAAUUAAGUUACUCAGCUUUUGCCUCCUUUUGGGUGCUCAGUAGCCACAUGUGACUAGUGGCUACUCUGUUGGGCAGCCUUGAUACAGAGAUUUCCAUUAUUGCGGAAAGUUCUACUGGGCAGAGCUGACAAGUUACAAAAAAUAGGUUAAAGGGCAUAGUUUCAUUAGCUUAAAUAUAUCACUGCUACUAAAAAAUAUUUCAGAUGGCAUAGCAGUUCUUUUACAUACAAAGAGCAUCACAUUCUUAUUUCAGAUGUCUGCUAUUUCACAUAGAUAAACAUUUUUUUUUCCUUAACGGUUGUGGUUAAAUUAAUGCACAUUUAAACAUAUGCAGAAGAGCCUGUGGUUCAAAAGGAUUCCUCUUUGUAGUCCCUUAAGGUGAAUAUUCACCCCAAUCAAUCCUUUGUGAGUCUUCACUUUUUUCUGGUUAAAAAUCCUCUGAUCAACUUGAGUCACUGCACAAGUUUGACAUUCAUUCGCUUCGGCUGUGCAUUUUAAGCUCGCAUGAUUGAGGAGCUAAAAUACUCAGUAAUGUUGGUAAAGGCCAAAUGCCAGAUAGUUUUGGACUGACCAAAUAUAUAUUUAAUGACAUCACACAUGCCCUAAGACAGUUUUCAAUUUACAAACACUCUAUUCAGAAGCAGCCCAGAUAGAAAACAUACUGGCGUACUUUCUUUAAACUCUUCCUUAGGACAGUAUUGCCAAGGUGCCCAUUGUACAAAAAUUAGUCAAUAAAAAAAUAAAAUAAAUACUGCAAUUCUAAGACAAUGGAUAGUGUAAGUUGUGGGGGCAACAAAGAAGCCGGAGUGAAACCUUGGGGAAUUAGUAGAGGUUAUUUCCGCAGUAGAGCAGAUUUGCUUAAGUGGUAACCCCCUGACAAAAAUAGUCUAGAGCCACCUUUCUCCCUCUGGCCCCGCCCCUCCUUGCCCUGCCUCUCUCCCACUCCCCUGUUCUUACAAUUCUUUUUUUCUUUUUUUGCGUUUUAGGGCUGCGCAGGCAACAUAUGGUAGUUC